AGCUCCGCCCUCUUUCCCUCUAAGCCCCGCUCCCAUGUCUAUAAGCUCCUCCCCCUUCUCUCUAAGCCUCCCUUCUCAUUGGGUAAUCCGGCAAGCCACGCCCCUUAUUGAAACCAGGCUAGAUGUCAUUGGUGGAUGCUGGGAAAGGUGAUAUCUCAUUGGUGGAUGUUGGGAGAGGUGAGAUCUUGCUGGUCGAUGUUGGGAAAGGUGAUAUCUCGCUUGUGGAUGCUGGAAAAAGUUAAAUCUCAUUGGUGGAUGCUGGGAAAGGUUAAAUCUCAUUGGUGGAUGCUGGGGAAAGGUUAAAUCUCAUUGGUGGAUGUUGGGAGAGGUGAGAUCUUGCUGGUGGAUGCUGGGAAAGGUUACAUCUCAUUGUUGGAUGCUGGGAAAAGGCUAAAUCUUAUUGGGAGUUCCUGGGCGUGUCUUCCUCGCCAAGUUAUCCUGAACGAAGCAUUGUCUCGUGGCUUUGUUUGUGUUGUGGCGCAUUAGCAAUUGGUGCCAUGACUGCUGCUGCUGCCGCUGCCGAGAAUGUUACAAAAGACUGUGCUUACCAGUGACUAGACUAAUUAUCGUGCUUGAGAGAGACAGGCGGCUUUACACACAGCAACUAGACCUACUUAAGAAAACUGUGUCUGUCUGCUUGUUUGGUGAAGGGAAUGAGUUUGAUAAGUUUAGUGAUUCAGAAGGAGAAGCAGAUAUCGAAAACUAGUGUCUGUCUGCUUGUUUGGUGAAGGGAAUGUGUUUGAUAAGUUUAGUGAUUCAGAAGGAGAAGCAGGUGACGAAAUAUUGAGUUUGUAAGUUUGUUCAGGAUAAAAAUGAGUUGAAAGCCACGAGAUCUACUUAAGAAAACUGUGUCUGUCUGCUUGUUUGGUGAAGGGAAUGUGUUUAACAAGUUCAGUGAUUCAGAAGGAGAAGCAGGUGACGAAAUAUUGAGUUUGUAAGUUUGUUCAGGAUAAAAAUGAGUUAUAGAUUAAUUAAGGAAAAAAUGAGUUUGAGUUUACUGAUUCAGAGGAAGAAGAAGGUGAAGAAAUAUUGAGUUUGUAAGUUUGUUCAGGAUGAAAAACGAGUUCUUGAUUAAUUAAGAAAAAAAUGAGUUUGAGUUUACUGAUUCAGAGGAAGAAGAAGGUGAAGAAAAACUGAGUUUGUGAGUUAUAUAAUUGAAGAAAAUGUUUGUAAGUUUGUGCACGAUAAAAAUGAGUUGGUUAAAUUACGGAAACACGAGUAUAAUUAAGUUUGAUGUGACAAUUCCUGCAUCACUUACAAAUAUAUUCACUCCGUUAUCAAGUUUAUAAGUUUGUGCAGGAUAGAAAUAAGUUGGUUUAAUUACGGACAAAAAAUGAGUCUAUAAGUUUGAUGUGACAAUUCCUGCAUCACUUACAAAUAUAUUCACAUCCAUUACCAAGUUUGUUAUAGAUUAAUAGCUUUGUCGUGAAGGCGUCUGUUCAAUUGAUUACACAUAUUAUAGUUGUUUCAUUGUAUUCGUGGGAUCAUACAUAUUAUACAUUAUGUUUCUUUAGUGUUAAGGACAAUGAAAGCAUGUAUAUUUUAAUUCGACGUUUCUUUCAUUAUAUUCAAAAGUUGUGAUAUAUGACUUAGACACUUAAUACUGUGAAAUGCGUUAGAGAAAUUGUGAUAUAUGUUAAUUUUAUGGGUAGCUUAUUUAUCUUACUGAAAUUUUUGACCGUGGAAAGAAAGAAAGAACUCGGUUGAUUUUGCACGAUAGAUUUCUGUUGCAUAUUCAUUUUUUUGUCAUUAUUAUCAUUAUUAAAGAGAAGAAGUAUAUGCA